rnacentral:rRNA from 1 species
AACGGCCAUACCAUGGUGAAUAUACCGGUUCUCGUUAGAUCACCGAAGUCAAGCAUCAUUGGGCACGGUCAGUACUUGGGUGGGUGACCACCUGGGAACACCGCGUGCCGUU